rnacentral:rRNA from 1 species
GGAAUCUUCGGAUUCUAGUGGCGGACGGGUGAGUAACGCGUAAGAAUCUAACUUCAGGACGGGGACAACAGUUGGAAACGACUGCUAAUACCCGAUGUGCCGAAAGGUGAAACCUAAUUGGCCUGAAGAAGAGCUUGCGUCUGAUUAGCUAGUUGGUGGGGUAAAGGCCUACCAAGGCGACGAUCAGUAGCUGGUCUGAGAGGAUGAGCAGCCACACUGGGACUGAGACACGGCCCAGACUCCUACGGGAGGCAGCAGUGGGGAAUUUUCCGCAAUGGGCGAAAGCCUGACGGAGCAACGCCGCGUGAGGGAGGAAGGUCUUUGGAUUGUAAACCUCUUUUCUCAAGGAAGAAGUUCUGACGGUACUUGAGGAAUCAGCCUCGGCUAACUCCGUGCCAGCAGCCGCGGUAAUACGGGGGAGGCAAGCGUUAUCCGGAAUUAUUGGGCGUAAAGCGUCCGCAGGUGGUCAGCCAAGUCUGCCGUCAAAUCAGGUUGCUUAACGACCUAAAGGCGGUGGAAACUGGCAGACUAGAGAGCAGUAGGGGUAGCAGGAAUUCCCAGUGUAGCGGUGAAAUGCGUAGAGAUUGGGAAGAACAUCGGUGGCGAAAGCGUGCUACUGGGCUGUAUCUGACACUCAGGGACGAAAGCUAGGGGAGCGAAAGGGAUUAGAUACCCCUGUAGUCCUAGCCGUAAACGAUGGAUACUAGGCGUGGCUUGUAUCGACCCGAGCCGUGCCGAAGCUAACGCGUUAAGUAUCCCGCCUGGGGAGUACGCACGCAAGUGUGAAACUCAAAGGAAUUGACGGGGGCCCGCACAAGCGGUGGAGUAUGUGGUUUAAUUCGAUGCAACGCGAAGAACCUUACCAAGACUUGACAUGUCGCGAACCCNGGNGAAAGCUGGGGGUGCNUUCGGGAGCGCGAACACAGGUGGUGCAUGGCUG